rnacentral:rRNA from 1 species
GUAGGAGAACCUGUAGCUGG